rnacentral:rRNA from 1 species
UACAGAGGUCCCGAGCGUUGUUCGGAUUCAUUGGGCGUAAAGGGUGCGUAGGCGGCGGGGUAAGUUUGAUGUGAAAUCCCGGGGCUCAACCCUGGAAUUGCAUUGAAUACUACCUUGCUAGAGUACCGUAGAGGAAACUGGAAUUUACGGUGUAGCAGUGAAAUGCGUAGAGAUCGUAAGGAAGACCAGUGGCGAAGGCGAGUUUCUGGACGGUAACUGACGCUGAGGCACGAAGGCCAGGGGAGCAAACGGG